ensembl:lncRNA
GUUUCUUCCGUGUUUGGAGCCAUGUGCAACUUGACGUAAAGUCUGAGGUCUGGAUGAGCAGGAAUGUCGAUCCUACCGCAGAUAUCCGGACAAAACUUUUGAGAGGAAGGUCAAAGUUUUUUUUUUAGCUGAGACUGCGCUGCUUCUGCGUCCGAAACGGGAAAGAAAGACACGGCAGGCUCAAUGAAGAAUGCCAGGCUGCACAGCUUCUUUGCUCUCAGCAUUAACAGUGACUCUCUUCUGUGCUGUAGUCGGUGAGACUAAAUUCACUAUGAGUGCAGAACAGGAGGUCUACCAUGCAGAAGAAAACAGUAACAUCACAAUGACAUGGCUGUUCCCUUUCGACACCAACAGGCCUCCUGACUUCCUACAAAUAGAGCUAAUAAAUGUGGAAAAGAAGACACGGGUUUACUUCUAUAACAGCAAGACUGGCACUUACAUGUAUCCAGAUGAGAACUACAGAGGACGACUGCAGUGUGAUCCACAGCUCACCAGGAAAGGACGAGUUGAAUGUCUCUUAACUGAUCUCAGGCUCAACGACACGGGGACAUAUCACUGCAUUGUUGUCCUUAACGAAGAAGUUAGUUCCAAAACCUGUGACCUCAAUGUUACAGCUGCUGUUGAAAAAUUGAAGACAGAAACACUGAAACCAGAGAGCCGUCAGAGGAUCGGUCUCUAUUCAGCUCUGGGUUUGUUUGUAGUGGUAAUUUUUGCACUUUCCCUGAAUUACUUGAUUUUAACGUAUUGUAAAUAAUCAAUAUAAUUUGUAUUUAUGUGAAGUAGCAGCCCAUUACAGAUCACUCCUGAGGUCACCUCUGACUGUAAUGAGGCUGCUGACUGUUUUUAAAAUAUUGUUGCAAUUCCUCAGAGCUGUACCACAGAGCAGUGCACACUCACAUCAUCCUCCACUCUCCCAUAUUUAACACAAAUUUAUGCACUUUUAUUUCCAAGGUUUUUUGUUUUUUAAUGACUUCAGUCCACCCUGACCAGUUGCAUCCCAUGUUGUCAGGUUUAGACUGAAGACACAUGGAAACGAGAAAAGUAACGACCAAUGAAUUGGUCAUUUCUUAUUUAGUAAUCAACAAAUAUUCAUUUCGUAGUAUUUCAUAUCAACAAAUUCAGGAGAGUUUUUGUACUGAAGAAGUUAAUAAUAUGCUGCUAAUUAACUCUG